rnacentral:rRNA from 1 species
AGCGAACGCUGGCGGCAGGCUUAACACAUGCAAGUCGAGCGGGCAUCCUUGUGGUGUCAGCGGCAGACGGGUGAGUAACGCGUGGGAACGUGCCCUUCGGUUCGGAAUAACUCAGGGAAACUUGAGCUAAUACCGGAUACGUGCGAGAGCAGAAAGGUUUAUCUGCCGAAGGAUCGGCCCGCGUCUGAUUAGCUAGUUGGUGAGGUUACGGCUCACCAAGGCGACGAUCAGUAGCUGGUCUGGGAGGAUGAUCAGCCACACUGGGACUGAGACACGGCCCAGACUCCUACGGGAGGCAGCAGUGGGGAAUAUUGGACAAUGGGGGCAACCCUGAUCCAGCCAUGCCGCGUGAGUGAUGACGGCCUUAGGGUUGUAAAGCUCUUUUCUCCGGGACGAUAAUGACGGUACCGGAGGAAUAAGCCCCGGCUAACUUCGUG